GUGCUCCAUCUUGGCCCAGCAGCUUUCAGGGCAGAGAUGGUGUCCCGAGCUACAGACAGGGAAGCAGAGGGAUCUGCUGUCUGUGUCGGGCUCGUAAGCCUCGAUGAGAAGGCGCGCAUUGAAGCAUUGGGUGGCUUUGUGUCUCACAUGGACUGCUGGAGAGUCAACGGGACCCUGGCCGUCUCCAGAGCCAUCGGGGAUGUCUUCCAGAAGCCCUACGUGUCUGGGGAGGCCGAUGCAGCUUCCCGGGCACUGACAGGCUCCGAGGACUACCUGCUGCUUGCCUGCGAUGGCUUCUUUGACGUCGUACCCCACCAGGAAGUUGUUGGCCUCGUCCAGAGCCACCUGACCAGGCAGCAGGGCAGCGGGCUCCAUGUCGCCGAGGAGCUGGUGGCUGCAGCCCGGGAACGGGGCUCCCAUGACAACAUCACGGUCAUGGUGGUCUUCCUCAGGGACCCCUAAGAGCUGCUGGAGGGCGGGAACCAGGGAGAAGAGGACCCCCAGGCAGAAGGGAGGAGGCAGGACUUGCCCUCCAGCCUUCCA
rnacentral:sRNA from 1 species